AAGUUAGCGGCGGACGGGUGAGUAACACGUGGGUAACCUGCCCAUAAGACUGGGAUAACUCCGGGAAACCGGGGCUAAUACCGGAUAACAUUUUGAACUGCAUGGUUCGAAAUUGAAAGGCGGCUUCGGCUGUCACUUAUGGAUGGACCCGCGUCGCAUUAGCUAGUUGGUGAGGUAACGGCUCACCAAGGCAACGAUGCGUAGCCGACCUGAGAGGGUGAUCGGCCACACUGGGACUGAGACACGGCCCAGACUCCUACGGGAGGCAGCAGUAGGGAAUCUUCCGCAAUGGACGAAAGUCUGACGGAGCAACGCCGCGUGAGUGAUGAAGGCUUUCGGGUCGUAAAACUCUGUUGUUAGGGAAGAACAAGUGCUAGUUGAAUAAGCUGGCACCUUGACGGUACCUAACCAGAAAGCCACGGCUAACUACGUGCCAGCAGCCGCGGUAAUACGUAGGUGGCAAGCGUUAUCCGGAAUUAUUGGGCGUAAAGCGCGCGCAGGUGGUUUCUUAAGUCUGAUGUGAAAGCCCACGGCUCAACCGUGGAGGGUCAUUGGAAACUGGGAGACUUGAGUGCAGAAGGGAAAGUGGAAUUCCAUGUGUAGCGGUGAAAUGCGUAGAGAUAUGGAGGAACACCAGUGGCGAACUUUCUGGUCUGUAACUGACACUGAGGCGCGAAAGCGUGGGGAGCAAACAGGAUUAGUACCCUGGUAGUCCACG
rnacentral:rRNA from 2 species